CCUACGGGUGGCAGCAGUGAGGAAUAUUGGUCAAUGGACGUAAGCCUGAACCAGCCAAGUCGCGUGAAGGAUGAAUGCUCUAUGGGUUGUAAACUUCUUUUAUAAAGGAAUAAAAUGAGGGACGUGUGCUGUUUUGUAUGUACCUUAUGAAUAAGGAUCGGCUAACUCCGUGCCAGCAGCCGCGGUAAUACGGAGGAUCCGAGCGUUAUCCGGAUUUAUUGGGUUUAAAGGGUGCGUAGGCGGUUUUUUAAGUCAGCUGUGAAAGUUUGUGGCUCAACCGUAGAAUUGCCAUUGAUACUGGGAGGCUUGAGUACAGUUGAGGCAUGCGGAAUGCGUGGUGUAGCGGUGAAAUGCUUAGAUAUCACGAAGAACCCCGAUUGCGAAGGCAGCCUGCUAAGCUGUGACUGACGUUGAUGCUCGAAAGUGUGGGGAUCAAACAGGAUUAGAUACCCCUGUAGUC
rnacentral:rRNA from 1 species